AGAAAGGUGGAAUUAUGUGCUCCAAUCCAGUGUCGCUGGAACUCAUACCUUUAUCACACUGAGGUGAAACUACUCACAGUGGAAAUUUUAUGAGCGUUAAAUAGGAAAAGAAAUAGACUGGUAAUAUUCAAUGUGAGUCAACCUCUGAAAGAGUGAAAGAAUGAAUUGUGAAUUGUUCCUGUGUCAUAUUAACAAAUCUCCCUGAGGUGUGCAGACUCUCCGGCUCUUCUCGUUUCAGGAAAACAACCCAUUACCUAUGCAGAUCUGAAGUGAAAUCAAGAGCUAGUCAGUUUACUGUGUAGAGAAAUCAAGUAAAUGAAGACUUGUGGGCAAGGAUAUUAUUUUAUAAUACAAAACGUUUAGCUAAGUCACUCUAAUAUUUUCCAUGCUUGUACUGGAGAGUGAGCUGAUCCAGUGAACUUAGGUGUAUGUUUGUAAUUGCUUCCAGAUGUCUCUUCUGUGUUGUUUUAAGAUGGUACAGAAGAUUGAUUCAAAUGCUAACAGCUAAUGAAGUCUUGAGUGAAGGACCUUCAGUUAGUACUUUCAGGCAAGAUUGGGAAAUACUUUAAGCAUGAACUCAAAUUUAGCAAGUAUACUUAGUAAAGCAAUUUUUGUUGCACUGUAUUCGUAGUACAACUUAGAGAAGUAUUGCUACACAUUUAAAAAAAAUACCUUCAAAAGUACUUGCAAACAGAGGACAAGAUUUGCCACUUUGAGAAUGUUUGAGAACCAAGUGAGUAACAGAUGAUCUCUGGUAGAGAUUGUAAGAGUGUAAUUAAUGAUGUAAUGUGCUGAAACGAAUCCAUAUGACAGGCUGCAAAUACAUUCACAAAACUUUUGCGAAUGAUUCUUGUUUGGAUCAAUGCAUUAACUACUUUUUUUUUUUAAUGCCACCUAAACAAUUGACUUAGUUCUCAAGAGCAUAAGGAUUCUUAUGAAUCUCAUGUCAUAACAAAUAAUAAUUUUCUGGAGGUAAAAGAUGGUGAUCGUUAGUUAAGUCUUUAAAACUUCAUGAAUUCCAAAUCAUACAUGCAAUAAAUGAGUGUUGGUAGUAGGCAGUGAGUUCUUGGUAUCUGAAUCUGUUAUCCAGGAAUUAUAUUGCCCUAGAUCUUUGCUGGAUUAUAAAUGACACGUUUACUUCAAUACUACCUCAGAGUAUUUUGUGACUGAAAAGAUAAACAAUUUUGUCAAUAGUAAAUUGUCCUGUACUUUAUUGAUCUCUUAAUAACAUACAGUUGUAAAACAGGUAAUAAACCAUGGCAAUAACUUGUUUCCCCUAAGCAAUAGAGAGACCAGAUUUUGAAGAGUAGUGAUUCUUUUGUAUCAGGGAGUGGAUUACUUUCCUUUAUUUUAUUUUAUUUCUUAAAUUCUCAUGCAUUUCUCCAGUUGCCAUGGAAGAAUAGGCUCCCAUUUAUCCAUUGCCUGCAGUGCUCUGUUAAUAGAGAAGUCAGAAAGUAUGCUUGCCAUUGGUUUAUUAUGUUGUGUAAAAGUAGCUGGUGACAGCAUGCUCAGCUGCUGCUGAAAAUGACAUUUCUGACUGUUUGUGACAGCCUGAGUACCUGACUACUUAAACAGUAUUGAAAGACAUUGUGAGUUGCUGUGUGUGUGUGUGUGUGUAUAUAUAUAUUCGUAUCUUAAAAAUUGUAAUUCCACCUUUAUUUAUAGUUGUUGAACUCAAAGCAUUUAUUAAAACAUACAGAAAGGAUGCUGAAAACACACAAGUCUCCUUUCCAGCUCAUUAUGGUUCUGCUGAUUGCUAAUUGCACUUCACAAUUUCACACUGUUUGCUUGAGAGAUAUGGUUUUCUAUAUUGUUCUAUAGAGUUUUCAUAAAGUUACCUUUUUUCAUUACUAUUUUUUUGUACUUCAAAGC